UUUGAAAAAUAAAAAUCAGAACAGGUUAUAACUAUGUUAUACAGCUGAGUUACUGAACUGCAGGUACAAUACUGUCAGCUAUCUCUGGUUUCAACUGCAUCUUCUCUGUAUUCUUAGAAAUAUAUACAACACGAGAGAACUCACUGCAAUGUUUUAAGCACUGCAAAAAUCGAGAAUGCAGAAUUGUGAAUUUAUUUAUACACCAUACACCUCAUUCCCAGAAGUAUCUAAGACAACAACUUCAGCCAGCUCUUUAUUUCUGAGUACUGAACUUAUCUGGGGUUUUCAAAGUUUUCUUGGACUAAGGAAAUCUUUAGACAAUUUUCCAGGCUUGUUACAGGGGUGGGGAAGAAGGUGAUGAGAACUGCAUUCUAAAACAUCUCAUCUCUUCCCCUUUUGUUUCUCUGUGUGCCAGGAAGUAAACACUGCUGAGUCAACUACUGUCUUCUUGCCUUGUCCUCAGGACCUUCUAGGUAGAUAAGAUUUGGGACUGUCCAUGCUGUUAGGACUUCUCUGUGCGUGCGUGUGUGUAUGUACAUGCAUGUGUGUGUGUGUGUGUGUGUGUGUGUGUGUGUGUGUGUUUUCCUGGGGUGUAAAACUAAGGGCUCAGACACAUAAACUAGAUAAGACUUUACUACCCAGCUACAGCCCAAGUUCUGAAACUUCUAAUUUCAACCUCUUCUAGGUGUCAGAUUUUCAUACAUUCCUCCUCCCCUCCAUCCUCUCUGCCUCUCUUACAGAAACUACAGUGUCAGCUCCCUCCAUAAAAUGUUCUACUUCUGCAUCUCUCCACUUUCAAGAAUAACAUAACUACAGAGAAGAAACAGGAUAUAAGCUACAAAAUGCCAACAUUAAUCCCUACAACAAAGCAACCCUGGUGAUGUCUUGAUAUUAAACCAUGUUUAAAAACAAGAGGGAAAGGAACAUUUAUUGACACCUACUAUAUUAGGUAUGUCAGAUAAACACAUUAAAAUAUCUCAGCUUUGAAAAGUAUUACUUUAAUUCUUAUUUUAUUUUUUCUUUUGUUGUUGUUAUUGUUUUGGUGGGGAAGCAGGGCAACAAUUUUUGCUCUUUUUCCUAAGACGUUCUCAUGCAACCAAAGUUGCCCUUGACUUCCUGAUGACCUUGCCUCCAAUUCCUAAGUGGUAGGGUUGCAGGUGUACGCCACCAUGCUCAGCUUGUUUCUUUUCCUUGAACAGAGUUUGUAAUAGUCUCCUAAUUUAUCUCAAAGCCUGUUAGUUACAUCUAUCCCACAUUUAUCUAAUUCUAACACUAAUAUUCUUUUCAUUAAUUUACAUUUACUCAAACCCUCUGGUAUCAUUUUAUGAUCUUCACAUUUACCUGUACCAUUGCUUAAUUAACAUAAUACUUCCCCUGCCACACUGUACAGGGGCUUAUGCCCAGGGACUUUAGCAUGCUAUGUGGGAUGCUCUCCCACUGAACUACUUCGAGCCUUGUUACUUUUAGAUUCACCAACACUAGCAGCAUAUUAGCUUUAUUUUAGGCAGUGCAGCACUGAGGGAAUUAGUUUGAAAUACUAUGUAAUACAGCAAUGAACAUAGAUAAUUACCAAUCCAAGAAUGUUUCCUAAGCCAGCUCAUAUAGUAAGCUCUAGACAACGCUAUGCCAACCAGGGGGAACUGAGUCACCUUCCAGUCCUUCAAAUUCCUUCACAAGUUGUUUCCUUUGGACAGAAGGUUAUUCUGAAGCACCAGGGUUUCUGAAUUUUCUUGCAAUUUCACAAAGCACUGGGGAUGAGUGAGAGGCCAAUAUUCUCUUAACUGUACAUACACUUCCUCAAUACCUAUGUCAUUCACUGGGUAUAAAGCACACGGAGAAGCAGUCGCCCAACUCUCAGAUAUACUUCUUUAUCUUUUAUAUAUUGUUUUUGUGUGUAUGUGUGCACCUGCCCAGAUUACAGAAGUAGACAUCAGAUCUCUUGGAGCAGGAGUCACAGAUGGAGUGGGUUUUGGGAACAGAUCCCAGUCGUCUGUAUGAACGACAUGCAUGCCCUCUUAACUGCUGAGCCACUUUUGUCAGUCUCGGGUGCACUUCUAGGCUUUCCCUCAGUAAAUAGAAUGGCACACCUAAAAUGCAAUGGAUUCUGUAAACACUUAAAUUUCUUUAUCCUGUGACUUCAGGCAUCUUUAAGCAAGGUUCAUACUUUGUCCCAUUCCUCACUCAAAAACAUCUCUUUUGUCAGAGAACCUGAGACUGUAGAAGCUUUUAUAUGGUUUGUCAGUAAAAGAAACACCUUUCAAGCUGCUUCUGUAGGGAAAUGUUGUUUCAGAAUAUUUAGUACUUCCAAGAUUGCUAUGAAAAUAAAAUAUUUCAUAUACUUAUUUACUUAUUUUGGUUUUUCGAGAAAGGGUUUUUCUGUAGCUUUGGAGCCUGUCCUAGAACUAGCUCUUGUGGACCAGGCAGGCCUCGAACUCACAGAAAUCUGCCUGCCUCUGCCUCCCAAGUGCCCAAGUGCUGGGAUUAAAGGCGUGCACCACCACUGUCCGGCUCAUAUAUUCAUAUGUAUAUAUAAACCAGUCACAGUUUCUUGGAGCUGUUACAAUUCUGAGUGGUUUUCUAUAGUAGUGUUAUUCCCACACAUCAUUAUCUUAAGGAAGUUAUGGCAACAGCUAGUGGAUAAACGCCCAUGAACAAUGUUCUACUAUGAAAUAAUCAAGAUGCUGUAGACUAUAAAUACCAAUAUCUAAUCAAAUUAUUCUUCUAACUGCAUACCUACUAGCUAACCUACUGUAGCCUUCUUUGUAGGUUACAGAAAAUGUGAUGGCCCAACUCUGGAAUAUUCAGACACCCAUGUCAAUUCUUCAGGCAGAUGAACAAACUGGCAAGCAGUUUAAAAUUGAGGUUUUACAUGUGAUUACUAUGUGUAACAACAUAUGGAUUUGUUUCUUGUGGACUGGUAAAGCCAGCUGUGGAUCUGCAUUAGAUAUCAGGUGGUCUGAAAUACAUUCAGCUUUGGAAGCCUUUAGGGAAAACAGCCAUUUUCAGUCAGUAACACUAUACUCUAAAGAGAAGCAGAAAUCAGUGUGCUUUCUAUAUCAUGGAUUUGUAUAUGGAUACUAUGAAUUUGAAUGUUUAAUUUAGUCAAUUAAAGAAAUUAGUUUUAGGGGCUGGAGUUCAGAGCACUUGUUGCUCUUACAGAGGUCUAAGCAUCCCACUAUGAACAUGCUGACUUAAAAGCACCUAGUCCCAGGGUUCUGUCUACUGGCUCCCCGAGGCAUCAGAAACACACUGGUGCACAGAAAGAAAUAUGUAGGUAAAUGAUCAUACACAUACAGUACAAUAAGUAAAUCUUAAAGUGACCUUCACACAGUUUUGGCUACAUGUAUGGCACACUUCUCUAAUUCCAGCAGUACUGCAACAGCAGCAGAUGAGCUCUCUGAGAUGCCAGCUUAGUCUAUACUGUGAGUUUGUUGGUAGCUAGAGCAUACAGUGAGACCCUACCUUAAAAAUAUUUUGUUUUUGAUUUUUAGUUUUCAUGACAGGAUUUCUGUCACUUUGGAGCCUGUCCUGGAACUCGCUCUGUAGACCAGGUUGGCCUCGAACUCACAAGACAUCUACCUGCCUCUGUCUCCUGAGUGCUGGGAUUAAAAGGAGUGCACCACCCCUGCCAGCUGCUUUUUUAUUAAUGAGAGCAGGCAACUUCUCACAUGGUUGACACACACUUUUGUGUGUGUGUGUGUGUAUGACAGAGCUAUUCAUGUCCUGAUUUUGCUUAGUUUCCAUUUUACCGAAGUCUAAAACCAUUUUGUGUUUGUGUUUAUCUGACAGCAUUUUCCCAUUAGCUACUUUGUGAUUUUUGUUUGUGUUUUGGAGACAAUGCUUCACCAUAUAGCUCUGGCUAUCCUUGAACUCAUAAAUAUCUGCUGGGAUUAAAAACAUAUGCCACCAUGCUAGGCUGCUAGUUCAUAUUUUAAUUUACAAUGUUUUCACAGCUACUGUUAACAAUUUGAAUAUUAUGUAACCAAAAAAACCUUUUUUUUUUUUCUUCCCCAAACAGGGUUUUACUGUGUAGCUCUGGCUCUCCUAGAACUGGCUCUGUAGACCAGGCUGGCCUCAAACUAACAGAGAUCCACCUGCUUCUGCUUCCCAAGUACUACGAUUAAAGGUGUGUGCCACUACUGGCCAGCUCAAAAUUUCUUAAGUUUACUGUUCCUGGUUUUUAUGUCUUGCGAAAUAUGGUCUCUGUGUGUGUGUGUGUGUGUUUGUAUGCAUAUUUGCAUAUAUGUGUGGUGCAAGUGCACCUGCUUUUGAGGAGGCUGCUAGGGGUCCUUCUCUAUUCACCUCCACUUCCUGUCAUCCCUCGAGUGAGGCCAAGGUCUCAAGCAGCCCAGGCUGUCACCAAACUUGCUAUGUAGUUAUCUUGAGUUCUCGGUCUCUUUGCCUGAGCUCCCAAGAGUAUGGACCACUAUGCUGUUAAUACCACCAAUGUUCUAUUAAUUGUAUAUUAUCUUUCUUUGUUUGGUCACCCCCACAGGGUUUUGCUGUAGCUUUGGAACCUGUCCUGGAACUAGCUCUUGUAGACCAGGCUGGCCUCGAACUCACAUACAUCUGCCCGCCUCUGCCUCCUGAGUUGGGAUUAAAGGUGUGUGCCACCACUGCCCGGCUUGGAUAUUAUCUUUAUAGCUACUAAAUAUGUGCUUUUGUUUGGUCUUUUUUGCCAUUGUUUGAAUCAUUCUAGUUUACUUUUGUAAAAGGAAAGAAAAUAUAUUUACAAAAUGAAAGUAAAAAGACAUGAAAGUAAAAAGAAUGAAGUUGUGGUAGUAUACAGGGAUCCAAGUGUUUUCUUCAAAACUGGCAAUCAAACAUAGGUUUUGAGAAAGAUCUCACAUAUGGUAACAAUAUGUUAAGUCUCAGUUUAAACUUUUCCUGAAAAGAGUCCUAUGUAUCAGAAAUUACCAACUCUCCUCACCACUGCUGUCACUAGUGGGUUUUGUCUUCUAGAGCCCUUUCCUUGGAAAUAGUUGUCUUGGCUAUAAGAUUAAUUAAUGUUAACGGGGCAUAAUUUUCCCAGACAUCAUUGCUUUUAAGUCUCUGUAAUCAAUUUUCUGCAUUAGUUAGGAAUGGACCAAUAAACUUUCAAUUUCUUGC